CCUACGGGAGGCAGCAGUAAGGAAUAUUGGACAAUGCCCGCAAGGGUGAUCCAGCCAUGCCGCGUGCAGGAAGACGGCCCUAUGGGUUGUAAACUGCUUUUACACCGGAGAAAACCUUCCCUCGUGAGGGGAGCUGAUAGUAUGGUGAGAAUAAGCAUCGGCUAACUUCGUGCCAGCAGCCGCGGUAAU
rnacentral:rRNA from 1 species